UCAGGGCCGCCAAGGCCGGGGAGGCCGAUCCGAGCAGCACCAAUACGUCCUCUUCCUCCUUCAACUCCAAGGUCUCGGAUUUGACGAACAUCCUACCGAAGAGAGAGGGGAAGGAGAAAAAGGCAAUGAGGUGUAAGGAAAGAAACAGAGGCGCGAUCUUCGUGUCACAGGUGCUUGUUCCGGCGCGCACCCGAGAAGACCAGCUCCGAAUGGCGCAGAGCAGGAAGGCGAAGGAAGAAACCCAGGCAGUGCCAGCCAAGGGAGGUGACGAGGAUCGGAAGGCACAAAGUAAAGAAAAUGAAAAUUAGGAACUUGUGAAAAGGAGCAUUACCCAUUGCAGUUCUUCAACCUUCAGACUUCCUUCUGUCUUGGAAUUAUUUGAAAACUAUCAUGAUUUCCACUUUGCUCUUUGAUGUUUGUGUUUUCAUAUUCUCCCUUUUUAAAGCAAAUUCCCAAAAUAUAAAAGCAUCAUUUGCCAAUUUCCUCCUCGAUCAUUUUAGAACAGCUAAAUUUCAUGUGCUGGAAGUGCAGAAAUGAAAAUGAAAGAAGAAAAGAGAGACACUUUCAAUGUUUCUAGCACACAGCACCUGCCUCUCACACAUCUUUGGGUUUCUGUCUAUCAUGAACCUGCAGAAUCAGAACUUCAUAAAAAGUUUGACCAAGCAAAAAUUAUGCUAGAAGUGCUU
rnacentral:antisense_RNA from 1 species